UGGGCGUAGAGGGCUCGCAGGCGGUUUCUUAAGUCUGAUGUGAAAGCCCCCGGCUCAACCGGGGAGGGUCAUUGGAAACUGGGGAACUUGAGUGCAGAAGAGGAGAGUGGAAUUCCACGUGUAGCGGUGAAAUGCGUAGAGAUGUGGAGGAACACCAGUGGCGAAGGCGACUCUCUGGUCUGUAACUGACGCUGAGGAGCGAAAGCGUGGGGAGCGAACAGGAUUAGAUACCCUGGUAGUCCACGCCGUAAACGAUGAGUGCUAAGUGUUAGGGGGUUUCCGCCCCUUAGUGCUGCAGCUAACGCAUUAAGCACUCCGCCUGGGGAGUACGGUCGCAAGACUGAAACUCAAAGGAAUUGACGGGGGCCCGCACAAGCGGUGGAGCAUGUGGUUUAAUUCGAAGCAACGCGAAGAACCUUACCAGGUCUUGACAUCCUCUGACAAUCCUAGAGAUAGGACGUCCCCUUCGGGGGCAGAGUGACAGGUGGUGCAUGGUUGUCGUCAGCUCGUGUCGUGAGAUGUUGGGUUAAGUCCCGCAACGAGCGCAACCCUUGAUCUUAGUUGCCAGCAUUCAGUUGGGCACUCUAAGGUGACUGCCGGUGACAAACCGGAGGAAGGUGGGGAUGACGUCAAAUCAUCAUGCCCCUUAUGACCUGGGCUACACACGUGCUACAAUGGACAGAACAAAGGGCAGCGAAACCGCGAGGUUAAGCCAAUCCCACAAAUCUGUUCUCAGUUCGGAUCGCAGUCUGCAACUCGACUGCGUGAAGCUGGAAUCGCUAGUAAUCGCGGAU
rnacentral:rRNA from 1 species